rnacentral:lncRNA from 11 species
GUAUAUUUCUUUGUCUUUUUAUACAAAUGGCAAAACCGAAUUGUCCUCGAACCACAAUUUAUUUGGAUUAACAAGCCGUGCAAUUAAAAGGAGAACAAUUGCAAUAUUUCUACGUUUAUUUCGUCUUUUUGUUUUUCGAGGAUUACAAUAGAAAUUCAACACUUUAUAACCUCGUUAGUUUGCAUUGUGCGUCGCCAGAGUUGCCUGAUAAGCCACCGAAACGCAGAAAAGAUCACAGAACACAUCCGCAUUGAAAUCCUCAUUGGGACAAAGGAAAUGAAAACCUGAAUGAAUUAAGAUGAAGUUAAUAACGACGAAAAUUAAUCACUAGACCGUGGAUGUUUAUAGAAAUCCAUAUUUUAUAUUAGUGGUUAUAAUUAAUGAAGAGUUGGACGUUUUUCCGGAAGUGAGUAACAUACAAGUCCCGUUUCGUUUGGUUACGAAAUGUGCUACGAUAUAAAGGGAAAGCACUUGAUAUUUGAAGGUGAUUCGUCAUGAAGUUUCAUUAAAUCCGAGAGAUUUAACAACGACAUCCUUCUUCGUUAAUCAGAUUACCGGUCUCUGGUUUGCUUCACGGUGCGGAACGAAGUCAAAUGGAAUUGUCUUUGAAGAUCAAUGUGUAACACCUCGGUUCUAUGGUCUUUGGAGACACCUCGACGCUAUGGAACAUGAGCUUUUUGUAUUCUGAAACGGAUCUUGAAUGGAAAGAAGAAAGAAUAUGGGCGCAGAGCAUUGAUAUGAGAAAUGAACGAUCACUGCCAUUUUGGAAUGGAAAGAUUCACCUUUAGUUUUAAUUAAACUGCUGGAAAACCAUAUCGAAAGCUCCGACGAAAGCGGAGAGAAAGGGUUACUGAGGCCUUACAUGUGGUGUUUACUUUGUACUACUCGUGCAAGUAAUUGCCAUGACAAAGGGAGGGAAAUGUAUCCCAUCGUCGACCCGAGUAAUGAUCGAUCAAAACUCCAUUAUUGACAUUC